AUGCCCCACUAUAAUGCUUGGACCAAGCACGGAGAAAGAGGGGUUAUGAUGGAAGACAAUGAAGAAGAAGAGGACGACGACAGCUAUCCUGGCCAUGGGUUCCCUGAAUACGAUGGUACAACAAUGGGGGAAGAAGUUGAGCCGGCAAUGCAGGAAGAAGCUGAGCCGGCAAUGCGGGAAGAAGCUGAAGAAGAGGCAUCAGAUGAGCCCGCUAAUGAUAUAGGUCGGGCCAUUGCCGAUGCAAAGAGAAACUGCGCAACUGAAAAGGAGGAGAAGAAGUUGCAGCGCAUCUUGGAGGAUCACAAGAAAUUGUUGUACCCGAAUUGCGAAGCUGACAAGAAAAAGCUGGGCACCACACUGGAAUUGCUGCAAUGGAAGGCAGAGAAUGGUGUAUCUGACAAGGGAUUUGGAAAGUUGCUGAUAAUGUUAAAGAAGAUGUUUCCAAGGGACAACGAAUUGCGCGAGUGUACAUACGAAGCAAAGAAGGCUGUCUGCCCUCUAAGGUUAGAGGUGCAGAAGAUACAUGCAUGCCCUAAUUACUGCAUCCUCUACAGCGGUGAGUACAAGGGUUUGAACGCGUGCCCGGUAUGCGGUGCAUUGCACUAUAAGAUCAGCCACGAUGACCCUGGUGAUGUCUAG
rnacentral:rRNA from 1 species